rnacentral:rRNA from 1 species
GAAUCACCGUCUCCGAAUGCUCUAAUUAUGAGUUGAUCAUGGCUCAGAUUGAACGCUGGCGGCCAGGCCUAACACAUGCAAGUCGAGCGGAUGACGGGAGCUUGCUCCUUGAUUCAGCGGCGGACGGGUGAGUAAUGCCUAGGAAUCUGCCUGGUAGUGGGGGACAACGUUUCGAAAGGAACGCUAAUACCGCAUACGUCCUACGGGAGAAAGCAGGGGACCUUCGGGCCUUGCGCUAUCAGAUGAGCCUAGGUCGGAUUAGCUAGUUGGUGGGGUAAUGGCUCACCAAGGCGACGAUCCGUAACUGGUCUGAGAGGAUGAUCAGUCACACUGGAACUGAUGACACGGUCCAGACUCCUACGGGAGGCAUGUCGAGUGGGGAAUAUUGGACAAUGGGCGAAAGCCUGAUUCCAUGNCCNAUUGGCCCGCAGUUGUUGUUGAAAGAAGGGUCUUCUG